GAGCUGUGAUGAUAAAAGCAUAUGAUUGAUGGGUCAAUCACUAAUUCGUCUCAUAAAAGUAGAUGAAAUACAUGCAGUUCUGAGCUC